GGUGCCAUAGCUCAGUCGGUAGAGCAAAGGACUGAAAAUCCUUGUGUCGCUG
rnacentral:tRNA from 1 species